AACGAACGCUGGCGGCAGGCCUAACACAUGCAAGUCGAACGCUGUAGCAAUACAGAGUGGCAGACGGGUGAGUAACACGUGGGAAUCCUCCUAUCGGUACGGAAUAGCUCAGGGAAACUUGAGGUAAUACCGCAUACGCCCUUCGGGGGAAAGAUUUAUCGCCGAUAGAUGAGCCCGCGUCUGAUUAGCUAGUUGGUGAGGUAAUGGCUCACCAAGGCGACGAUCAGUAGCUGGUCUGAGAGGAUGACCAGCCACACUGGGACUGAGACACGGCCCAGACUCCUACGGGAGGCAGCAGUGGGGAAUAUUGGACAAUGGGCGCAAGCCUGAUCCAGCCAUGCCGCGUGAGUGACGAAGGUCUUCGGAUUGUAAAGCUCUUUUGCCAGGGACGAUAAUGACGGUACCUGGAGAAUAAGCCCCGGCUAACUUCGUGCCAGCAGCCGCAGUAACAC
rnacentral:rRNA from 1 species